GCGCGAUGCCGCGUGAGUGAAGAAGGCCUUUGGGUUGUAAAGCUCUUUUGUAGGGGAAAAAAUGAUGACCCUAAGAAUAAGGUCCGGCUAACUUCGUGCCAGCAGCCGCGGUAAUACGAAGGGACCUAGCGUAGUUCGGAAUUACUGGGCGUAAAGCGCGCGUAGGCCGUUGAGUUAGUUAAUUGUGAAAUCCCAAAGCUUAACUUUGGAACUGCAAUUAAAACUGCUCGACUAGAGUUUGAUAGAGGAAAGCGGAAUACAUAGUGUAGAGGUGAAAUUCGUAGAUAUUAUGUAGAACACCAGUUGCGAAGGCGGCUUUCUGGGUCAACACUGACGCUGAGGCGCGAAAGUAUGGGUAGCAAAGAGGAUUAGAUACCCUCGUAGUCCAUACCAUAAACGAUGAUUGCUAGAUGUUGGAAAUUUAUUUUCAGUAUCGCAGCUAACGCAUUAAGCAAUCCGCCUGGGGAGUACGACCGCAAGGUUAAAACCUCAAAUGAAUUGACGGGGACCCGCACAAGCGGUGGAGCAUGUGGUUUAAUUCGAAGAUAAGCGCAGAACCUUACCAACCCUUGACAUGUCUGUCGCGAGUUAGGAGACUAACUUUUCGGUUCGGCCGGACAAACCAGGGUUGGCUGGGUGUCGCAGCCGGUUCGAAGUUGGUUAGCCGCAGAGGACCCUAUUUGUGC
rnacentral:rRNA from 1 species